UACAGAGGGUGCAAGCGUUAAUCGGAAUUACUGGGCGUAAAGCGUGCGUAGGCGGCGCGGUAAGUCGGGUGUGAAAUCUCGGAGCUUAACUCCGAAACUGCAUUCGAUACUGCCGUGCUUGAGGACUGGAGAGGAGACUGGAAUUUACGGUGUAGCGGUGAAAUGCGUAGAUAUCGUAAGGAAGACCAGUGGCGAAGGCGGGUCUCUGGACAGUUCCUGACGCUGAGGCACGAAGGCCAGGGGAGCAAACGGG
rnacentral:rRNA from 1 species